rnacentral:rRNA from 1 species
GCCAGCAGCCAUAUCACCCUGCAUCUCACAAAUGGCAACCCACAGAAGCUAGGUAGGCAUGAGCCUGGUCAGUACCUGGAUGAGAGACCUCUUGGGAAAACCAAGGUUGCUGCUGGAA